AGCACAAACUGAGCACAAAGGAAAGACAGCCAGCAGUCAGAGGUGUUGGAGAUCCAUCCAACUCCCCUCUUAGUUAGGCACUCGCCUUCUCAUUCUGGAAAACACCUUUCAAGGAGCCUUUGGUUUAUUUGGCUGCCACCAGCACUAUUCGGCAGCACAAGAGGAGAUGGUCACUGGCCAUUGAGGUCACCCUUGUCCAACAUCUCUUUUUUGGCAGUUGAGAGACCAACCCACAUCCAGUGCACUGUUUGUCUGACCUAUUUAGGUGUCUACCUGAGGAGGAGAGAAGUGAUGCCCCAGAAGUGUCUGUUCCUCUCCGCUGAGAGCAGAUGAAGUCUAGACAACUGGCUCUGAUGUAGAUUUGAUGCUGCAGCGUUUUGCUGAGGGGAAUCCUGCCUGUCUCGUGUGCUGGUGUGCGCAGCAGCAGUGCCCACACAAGGGGUGCUGGUUGAGGACACCGUGUCUCUCUGCUGGCACUGCCAUGUGGCAUCUGGGAUACAGCGCAGCAUCAAACGCUUGUCCCGUUCCUGGGAACAUGAGCAGUCAUUUCAGGGCACUCUUUGCAAAGCCCACUGGUGUGAUUGUCAACCACCCAGUAUCCUCGUCCCUGCUGGGGGCUUGUUGCUUUUCUCCAAGGCCUCUCCCUUCCAGGAAAAAUGAUGCAGAGGUGUGGAAAACCAGCAAACAUGCACUGGCAUAACAAGAGCAUUUGCAGAGGAUGGGACAAGAUCUUCCCUACCCAGACAGAAACAUCUGUUUGAAGACUAGGAAAAGUCUUCACUAGACACAAACCUGUGGGGCUGCCAGCAGCCUCACUCCCCACAGAGAAAUUCAUUUCUGGCUCACAUUUUCCAUUUUUUCCCCCUAAAUUUUUUGACUAAGCAUAAAUUUCCAUGGACAGCUCUUACUUCUUUUUCUGAUUUCUUAGGGAAAAAGAAAGGCAAAACAGGAGAGGUGGGAAAUACAUGAGCACCAGCCUCUCCUGGGUCAUGCUUUCCCAUAAGAUAUUGAAAGCAUCAUCUGUAGAUCUCUCUACUGCCAGAGAGAACUCUGGGCUUGUAGGAUGGAUGCAGUGAGAUGUUGUGGCAGAGAUGGAAUUGCCCACAAAUGGAGAGAAAUCAUCACGGCUUAUCUAGAAAUAUCCUUCUUUGAACUUGUUUUUGGGAACAGGAACAUUGUUUGUCUCCCUUGUCCAAGGAUAGACUGUAGAAGCCAGGGAAGACACCACCAAUACUCCUUGGAAACAUAGCUGCUCCCUGCAAAAGAGACUUUCCAGCCAGCUUGUCCUCCAUGUGCUGUCACUGCCAUGGGAUGCUCUGCCAGUACCUGGAAGCUCAUUUUAACAAAGCUGAGUCCUUGGAGCCAGAGAGGAAGGGAAGAGGGACUGUGCUCCCUGGGAGAUUGCAGCACAGCCCCUGCAGUUAUUCCAUCAUGCUUUUGACACAGCGUGAAAGGAUGUGCAACAGAUGCAUCCCAAGAAUACCCUGCACCUGCAGGGAGGGUGGCAGAUGGAUUCUAGGCUGGUGUAGUCUGAAAUGAGGAAAAACAGCCCGUGAAGGUGCGAGCUUGCCGUGAAGGUGUGCACAGGUCACACAUGCCGGUGUGAUGCCAUGUGUGGGAGUUUGCUUCCCGGGGGAACAAUUGCUUCUAGGUACCUGCUCCUCCCCACUGGCAAGUUUGAGCAUCUCUCAGUCAUAAAGGAAGGUAAAUUAACAUUUCUGGUCACUGCUCGUAGCUCUGCCUGUUUAGACCUUCAUUUAAUAAAGCUGCUGAUUUCAGCAAGGAGGAAUUCAAACCAGCAC